UACGUAGGGCGCAAGCGUUGUCCGGAAUUAUUGGGCGUAAAGAGCUCGUAGGCGGUCUGUUGCGUCCGCUGUGAAAACCCGGGGCUUAACCCUGGGCUGGCAGUGGAUACGGACAGACUAGAGGUAGGUAGGGGAGAAUGGAAUUCCCGGUGUAGCGGUGAAAUGCGCAGAUAUCGGGAGGAACACCGGUGGCGAAGGCGGUUCUCUGGGCCUUACCUGACGUUGAGGAGCGAAAGCGUGGGGAGCGAACAGG
rnacentral:rRNA from 1 species